rnacentral:rRNA from 1 species
CGUAAACGAUGUCGACCAGCCGUUGGGUGCCUCGCGCACUUAGUGGCGAAGUUAACGCGAUAAGUCGACCGCCUGGGGAGUACGGCCGCAAGGUUAAAACUCAAAUGAAUUGACGGGGGCCCGCACAAGCGGUGGAGCAUGUGGUUUAAUUCGAUGCAACGCGAAGAACCUUACCUACUCUUGACAUCCUGCGAAUUUGGUAGAGAUACCUUAGUGCCUUCGGGAACGCAGAGACAGGUGCUGCAUGGCUGUCGUCAGCUCGUGCUGUGAAAUGUUGGGUUAAGUCCCGUAACGAGCGCAACCCUUGUCCUUAUUUGCCAGCACGUAAAGGUGGGAACUCUAAGGAGACUGCCGGUGACAAACCGGAGGAAGGUGGGGACGACGUCAAGUCAUCAUGGCCCUUACGAGUAGGGCUACACACGUGCUACAAUGGCCGGUACAAAGGGCUGCGAGCUCGCGAGAGUCAGCGAAUCCCUUAAAGCCGGUCUCAGUCCGGAUCGGAGUCUGCAACUCGACUCCGUGAAGUCGGAAUCGCUAGUAAUCGUGAAUCAGAAUGUCACGGUGAAUACGUUCCCGGGCCUUGCACACACCGCCCGU